rnacentral:rRNA from 1 species
UACAGGGGGGUGCAAACGUUGCUCGGAAUCAUUGGGCGUAAAGCGCACGUAGGCGGUUCGUUAUGUCGGAUGUGAAAGCCCUUGGCUUAACCGAGGAAGUGCAUCCGAAACUGGCGAGCUAGAGUACUAAAGAGGAUCGCGGAAUUCCCGGUGUAGAGGUGAAAUUCGUAGAUAUCGGGAGGAACACCGGUGGCGAAGGCGGCGAUCUGGGUAGAUACUGACGCUGAGGUGCGAAAGCGUGGGGGGCAAACAGG